AAUAGCCAAUGUGCGUAGGAGCUACAAGAAGAAUGGUUCCAUCAUCCAUGAACCCUAUAAGUUCUUAUCUUCAGUUGAUCUGACAUCUAAGAAAGUAUCAAAGGCUUCUACUUUCGCUCAUGUGUACAGGUUACAACAAAAGAAGCAUAACUAUACUCGUGGCUUGAUAAUGGAUUUAGAUCAAUUGGUCAGAUGAAAACUAGAAAAGCAAUUAGCAGCUACCUGACCGUCAGGAUUAUAACAAGCGGCCGUAACCAUUUCAUGUACAUCCAUCCAGUCUACAACUUGCCGAUUAGGAGAGAUCCAAAACAUCAUCCUGAUGACCUGUGAAGGAACAUACUGGUCGUUCCGAAAGCGCAAAUACAGUCCCUGGCACAUUGACAUAGUCGGGAAUUGAGUUCCCCUUUUUCUUGCUUGAGUUCUUUCCUUUUGUUUU